rnacentral:rRNA from 1 species
GGAAUCUUGGACAAUGGGGGCAACCCUGAUCCAGCCAUGCCGCGUGAGCGAUGAAGGCCCUAGGGUUGUAAAGCUCUUUCACCCGUGAAGAUAAUGACGGUACCCGAAGAAGAAGCACCGGCUAACUCCCUGCCAGCAGCCGCGGUAAUACGGAGGGGGCUAGCGUUGUUCGGCAUUACUGGGCGUAAAGGGCGCGUAGGCGGGCGCUUAAGUCGGGGGUGAAAUCCCGGGGCUCAACCCCGGAACUGCCUCCGAUACUGGGUGCCUUGAGGACGGGAGAGGUGAGCGGAAUUCCGAGUGUAGAGGUGAAAUUCGUAGAUAUUCGGAGGAACACCGGUGGCGAAGGCGGCUCACUGGCCCGAUCCUGACGCUGAGGCGCGAAAGCGUGGGGAGCAAAC